GACGAACCGUGCGAACGUUGUUCGGAAUCACUGGGCUUAAAGGGCGCGUAGGCGGGCGAGCAAGUCCGGGGUGAAAUCUUUCGGCUUAACCGGAAAAGUGCCUUGGAUACUGCUAGUCUAGAGGGAGGUAGGGCAGCGGGAACUUCCAGUGGAGCGGUGAAAUGCGUUGAUAUCAUCAGGAACACCGGUGGCGAAAGCGGCUUACUGGGUCUCUUCUGACGCUGAGGUACGAAAGCUAGGGGAGCGAACGGGAGUUAGAAACCCUUGGUU
rnacentral:rRNA from 1 species